rnacentral:rRNA from 1 species
CUGCGUGGAAGGGCCAUCGCUCAACGGAUAAAAGCUACCCUGGGGAUAACAGGCUUAUCUCCCCCAAGAGUCCACAUCGACGGGGAGGUUUGGCACCUCGAUGUCGGCUCAUCACAUCCUGGGGCUGUAGUAGGUCCCAAGGGUUGGGCUGUUCGCCCAUUAAAGUGGUACGCGAGCUGGGUUCAGAACGUCGUGAGACAGUUCGGUCCCUAUCCGUCGCAGGCGUAGGAAAUUUGAGAAGACCUGUCCUUAGUACGAGAGGACCGGGAUGGACGUACCUCUGGUGUACCAGUUGUCCUGCCAAGGGCAUGGCUGGGUAGCUAUGUGCGGAAUGGAUAAGCGCUGAAAGCAUCUAAGCGCGAAGCCAACUUCAAGAUAAGAUUUCCCACCGCAAGGGUAAGACCCCAGAAAGACUAUCUGGUUGAUAGGUCGAAGGUGUAAGUGCAGCAAUGUA